rnacentral:lncRNA from 1 species
ACCUGCCCAUUUCGAGAAUGGGACUUGGGAUACCGGAGGAACUUGCAGCAGGACGAGUCCUUUUGGAGAGACUCAAAUUGACCUGCAGAGCAAUGAGAUGAAGAUCAGGAAAUCUCAAAUUGAACAGUUUGAAGGUAUAACAAAACGAGACAACAAAGCAAAGAAGUUUGCAGUUUUGGAUGUGACGAGGAUUAUGCUGAUGAGACCCGAUGGGCAUCCGAAUGGUUACUGGGGCAAUAAAUGGAUGAAAGGCUACAACGAUUGCGUCCAUUGGUGUUUGCCCGGGCCAAUCGAUGCAUGGAGCGAGUUUUUAAUGGCGAUAAUUAGACAGUUAAGAUGAUGAUUUGUAUAUAAACAUUCUUUUACCUUUCUUCUGAGAAUAAGCAUAUUACAGAUGUGAUUUUUACGAAUGAUUGAUACAUUGAAAUACACAAUAUUCAAUAUUCAAUACAUUGAAAUACACACAUAACUUCAAUAGACACAACUUUCAUUUACCUCAUAUGGUUGCUCCCAAUAUUCGGCAGACAGUACAGUUUCAUGUAUUCACCGAGAUAACUUGUAUUUUGAUCCUGAAAGAUAUCGAUCUGGAUUCUGCGAAGUAGGCGUCAAACUGCAUGUAGUAAAACUAGAUGUAACAUAAACAACAACGUAACUGGAUAAGUUCUGCAGAACAAGAAGAUCAAAUCUUUACAAGAAACUUCAUCCUCCACAAUUCAAAACAAACAUAAUAGCUAUUUUCUAUACCAACCACAAGUACCUUACUUCUACACUAUUCCAUCAACAAUGAGAUCAUCAAGAUCAAACCUUUUACAUAUUACUUGAUCCAGCGCAACUUGAAACGGAAACAGAAUCAAAAAGCUCAAAAUUUGAGAACAAAUACUAACAAAUUCUUCAAACUAUUUGGCACAACUUGAAACAGAAGCAUAAUAGCUAUAUUUCUUUACCAACUAUACGAACAUUGCCUCUACACUAUUCCAUCAAGUGUUAACUUACACACCAGCAAAAACAAGAUCAUCAAGAUUCAUAGUGCAUUGUGAACAGAUAACACUCUUUCGCUAAUAUAGCAUAUUGAGAAGCUCUGAAGAACAAAAAGAUCAAAUCUUUCAUAGAGAACUUGAUCUGGCACAAUUCGAUACAGAAACAUAAUUGCUAUCUGCAAUGUUCCAUCAACCAUCAUCAAGCACGAAACUUUUUUACAGAUAAUAGCCAAAUUUCUUUACCACCAUUCCAUGAGUACAUCACCUCUACAUUGCUCCAUCAAGUGUAACUUACACACCAGCAAAAACAAGAUAAUCAAGAUCAUAGUGCGUCGUGAACAGAUAACACUCUUUUAACAAUAUAACAUAUUGAGAAGCUCUGAAGAACAAAAAGAUCAA